UUGCACCACUGCACUCCAGCCUGGGUAACAGAGUGAGACCUGGUCUCAAAUAUAUAUACUUUUUUCUGUGCUCUGAUGAUACUAGUAACUUCAGGGCAUGUGUUUGGCCUGUCUCUGGCAUGGUUCUGAUGGAUUUGUGGUGAGUGCCCUGCAUGCUCUUGUCCAUAUCCUCCCAGCGUAAGAAGGAUGGGUGUCUAAUGAGGCUGGCAGUGGCAAUCCAAUAUUCUGACUGUGGAACUGGACAGGUCUGAGAGUCUCACAGGUGGUCCCAUCCGGGCUGCACUCUGUGGGCUCAUCAGCCAUUUUUGUGCUUGUUUACAUUUCAUAUCACAGAUGCCCAAGACAGUGGUGAAGAAUUUUUUUCCUUUCCAACUUUUUAGGAGGUUCCUGUGCUGAUUUGUCACAUGGGUAAAAUGCGUGUUGCGGGGGUCUGGUGUGCAGAUUCUUCGGUCACCCAGGUGCAGAGAAUGAGGAUCAGAAAUGUUGAAGAGUUUGCCCAGAGAUCCAGCUAGCAAAUAGCCAGCUUCAGGGCUGAUAGGACCGUCAUUGUCCCUGACCAUGACCCGUCACAUGGCCAGCUCCAGAUGGAUUGGAAGGUCUGCGGGAACUAGCUUUGGCCUAGGCCAAGAUCAUCCAACCAGACCUUCUCCUGCUUCCUAUUUAGGAGAACACAGACCCCAGGUGUCCCACUGCAGAGUCCCAGUGUAUGAAGGUCAACCCAGUGUGAGACCUCCAGCUUCCUCCUGGAAAACUCCUACUCACUCUGCAAGAUUCAACUCCAGAACAUGACGUGUCCUGAUCCUAGUCUAGGCAGUCAGUCUCAGUUUCUCCUAGACCUGCUGAGCACCUGCUCCCACCUCCAUCUGAGCACUCAAGUGGUCAAUGCAGGGUUUCACCUGUACUUACCUCCAUCUGUGUACUCAGCUAGUUUUCCCCUCCAUCCAAGAAUCCUCCAAGAAUUCACAGAACCUUCUGCCAUGACUGUCCUGCCCUCCCCCACUUCCAUGUGAGCUCCUAGAGGCCAACUACUCCAUCUUAUUUAUUUUUACACACUCAGCACCUGCCACUUAGAAGAUGACCGAAAAAGAGUUUAAUGAAUGCUUGUGUCUUAUAAUCAAGUCUGAAACUUCCUUCUGUGGGACACUUCCGUGCAGCCACUGCCUCUAUUCUAAGAAUUGUGAUCAUAGGGACAAGAGAUGCAUUUCA
rnacentral:lncRNA from 1 species